CGCUGGCGGCGUGCUCAGACAUGCAAGUCGAACGAUUAAAGCUCUCUUCGGAGAGUGCAUAGAUGUGGCGCACGGGUGAGUAACACGUAAGUAAUCUACCCUCGAGUGGGGAAUAACGUCCGGAAACGGACGCUAAUACCGCAUAAUGCAGCGGCACCGCAAGGUGACAGUUGUUAAAGAUUUAUCGCUUGAGGAGGAGCUUGCGGCAGAUUAGCUAGUUGGUAAGGUAAUGGCUUACCAAGGCUACGAUCUGUAACCGGUCUAAGAGGACGGUCGGUCACACUGACACUGAAUAACGGGUCAGACUCCUACGGGAGGCAGCAGUCGGGAAUUUUGGGCAAUGGGCGAAAGCCUGACCCAGCAACGCCGCGUGAAGGAUGAAGUAUUUCGGUAUGUAAACUUCGAAAGAAUAGGAAGAAUAAAUGACGGUACUAUUUAUAAGGUCCGGCUAACUACGUGCCAGCAGCCGCGGUAAUACGUAGGGACCAAGCGUUGUUCGGAUUUACUGGGCGUAAAGGGCGCGUAGGCGGCGUGGUAAGUCACUUGUGAAAUCUCUGAGCUUAACUCAGAACGGCCAAGUGAUACUGCUGUGCUAGAGUGCAGAAGGGGCAAUCGGAAUUCUUGGUGUAGCGGUGAAAUGCGUAGAUAUCAAGAGGAACACCUGAGGUGAAGACGGGUUGCUGGGCUGACACUGACGCUGAGGCGCGAAAGCCAGGGGAGCAAACGGGA
rnacentral:rRNA from 1 species